rnacentral:lncRNA from 1 species
UUUUUUUUUUUUUUUGGCCACACCCACGGCGUGGGACGUUUCCAGGCCAGGGACCAAAUGCGACCCACAGCUGUGACGAUGCUGAGUCCUUAACCACUAGGCCACCAGGAACUCCUAUGAUUGGUUGCUUUAAAACAAGGUGCUACCAGUUUCUUUUACUCCUGAAAUUCAGCAAGGCUGAUAACUUAGAAAUUCCAUGAGAUAAAAUACAAAAGAUUCUGUAUGCAUAUUAAAUAAUUUCUAACUCCAAUUAAAAUAUGUUCUUGGAUAUGCUUAAGUCAACCUUAGCUUUUUUUUUUUUUUUUUUUUUUUUAAAAUUUUGUAGCAAAGCAAGAUAACAUGGGAGACUAACCCAUUUAGACCAUCAGAAGUUCACUUUCAUUUUUAAAAUUUUUUGGGUGUCCCUUGUGGCAUGUAGAAAGUUCCUGGGCCAGGGACUGAACCCGAGCUAGUUUCGACCUGCACCACAGCCUCGGCAAAGCCAGAUCCUUAACCUGCUGCACCGCAAAGGAACUUCCAGAAAUCCACUUUCAGAUUUUACCAACUGAGCUCUUCCACUGGAUGCUGUUGGCCUAUCAGCUGGGCAGGUGUGAAAGAAACAAUGCAUGCCUUUCUCCAAUCACAAAGGUUCGUCCCUGACUCUCUUCUUGCUUCUCAAAAGCAAGAAAAAAAGCACCAAAAAAGCCUCCAGUCAUUCACUCAUAUGCUCACUCCAGAGGGUCAGCAGAAAGCACGAUGGAACUGGUGUUUGUUCAAGGUCAAGUGAAAGGUUUUGGAAACUCCUCCCAGAGGUGGGGCAACGCAAAGUUCUGCACUGAACCUCCCUGGGUCAACCUCUGCCUGAAGUCCUGCCGGCCUCCAGCACAGCGGCAGCUAGCCCUAACUCAUCCACUCUCUCUACCCAGCUACGGGCCAGAGUCCUGCAGGCUGCAGGGAAGCUCCCUCAUUCAGUCUGAUCUAGCAAACCAAAAAAAAAAGGAUUUCUACAAAAAUGUGCAAAUGUUAUAACUGAGUUUUGAAUAUUCUGCAUCAGCUACAGUUGUCUCAAGAUAGUCUUCCAUCUCAUUCACUUGUUAGAAACACUUCAUUUUCCAAAGAAAAAACAUACAUCAUGAAAAGCAUGUCCUGUUACUAACAGAGUGAGCUCUACAACACACAUGCCAACCGACCAAGAACAGAAUAAAAGAAUGUCUGCAAAACAGGACUCAUCUUUUCUGAUCCCAAACUUUCCCAUUGCUACCUCUGACUUCGUGCCAAUGUUCUUCUCCUUAAGAUCAAGAAACAACCAAGAGCAACACGCACCCAGAUGGCAUGAGAGUCACCUGGCCUGGCAAGAAAUUGUGGUCAGGCUUCGGGAUUAAAAUCAAGGACCUGGGAAGGAAUGACAGCUUUUGUCUGCUAGUAAGCAGGGCAGAGAGGGAAGGGCAUUGGUUUUCCUCUCAAGGAUGACAGUGACAGGACAAACCACAGCACCACGGCAGGCACUGAAGUGCAUUCCUCAAGAAACAAAGACCUGCUUCACUCCAUCCAGCUCUGGGGUGUUUACUUCAAGAGCCCCUAGGCCAGAAAAAAGUCAAAAGGCCUUUGUCACUGAUACAUCCUAAGUGGAGCACCGGGCUCAUGUCUCACUGAUGCCACCACGUUAUCCUUAUCAGGGUGUGGGGACAGCAGGGCGUGCGUGCUUCCUGCUGAGAUGGCUGUAGACACCAGCAGGGGACCCUGGAGCAGCAGCUAACACAGCACUAACACUGCCGCCGGCACGACUGAUCUCCAAACUGUCAUUUCAUCGACUUUUCCCUAUUGUUCACACCUGAGAUGCAUGUUUUUCAGUGAACAGGGUCUAAGAUUUUGAAACAAUUAAAAGCUGCACCUAAGAUCAGAGAGCAAAACUCAGACCCUUUUCUCCUUUGCUUGGACUGGAAAGAAAGGAAAGCAGUGGCUGCAGAGCGCACAGUGGGUGACGAAACGCAGAGCUGGGUGUCAGGCGCAGGAGCAACCUCAGAGACACAGCCCGAGAGGAUGCGGACCAGCCCGGCAGUCUGAUAGCCGGUCCCACCGGGGACCAGCCCACUGCCCACAAAGGGAGGCAUGAGCCGGCAAAGCUCAUCUAGGAACGGGGUGGGGCAAAAUGGAUUCAGAAUCUCUGAACAGUGUUUAUUACUUUCAAACAUGUGAGGAUCAAAUACCAUCCCCUAAAAUUCAACUUUAGCAACUGAAACCUGUGACAAUGAGAUAGCUAUGAUGAGGAAAACAAAUUCUAAACUCCUAGCUCAGACCUGAAACCCCUGGCCCUAGGUAAUGAAUAGGUAGAAAAAGACAGUGAGGCCAGAUUUUACUAUGUGCUUCCGAAUAUCUAAACCCUCCCAAUACUUUUCUCACGGGGAAGUGAUUCUCCCCAAAAACUUCAGGGAUAAAGUCAGUGCCUUCCACCAACACUGUGGGGUCCAGAACUUAGGUCUAUAUAAAUUCAUCAGCCCUGCUUUCAGGUGCCUGACCCCUGGUACCAGGGGCACUGGGUGGCCUGGCAGCAUUGGCAGUCAGAGGGGCUCGCGAUGGCAGCACUCAGUCUACCACCAAGGAUAGAUACACCUGACUUACGUGUGUCCAGGGAAACCCCGAAACAUUUUAAACACCUAAUGUUGACCCCUGUCCUGGGAACCUCC